GCGUGCUGGGCCCAUAACCCAGAGGUCG
rnacentral:piRNA from 3 species